rnacentral:misc_RNA from 1 species
AGAAGAAGAAGAAGAAGAAACAAAACCGAAACAGAAACAUAAUAUAAAUUAUCGAUGCUUAAAUAAACAAACAAAUAAAGGGCCAUCAAUGAGUGGCAAAUGGGAAAAGCAUCAUGUUGACACCAACUGACAGCUCUCGUAAUGGAACUCAUCAGUGCACAGUCCAGCAUGCAGCACCAUACAGCCACAACUAAUUUGACCUUCUCCCCCAAAUACAGGCAGAAAAUUUUUGCUAAAUUCCAAGUUAUUCUUAAUAGUAAAGAUUAGCACAGCUGUACUUGUCAAUCAAACUUCUUAGACAAUCAUUUCGGUAGCCCAAAGCACCAAGUGCAAAUAGAACAGGCCAAUAACAAUUAAGUAAUUAUAUUCUAAGAGUAUAGAAUAAUUUAACAACUCAAUCCUUUUCUUAUCACUUUGUGGCUGAAGUGGGUGGACUUGAACUCAUAAUAUCCUCUUAGAAGUUAGAUCAGAGGUCUGGACACUAGGUUGUGCUUCAACCACAGCAACAUGAUCCUUCUUGAACAAAAAGAAAGCUCCAACAAGAACCAUCAAUAGCAGACGAGAGGAUCCUACAAUUCCUUUUAGUGACACUGAGUCCCUUGACAAAUUCCACCUGAACCUGAAGCUAUAGUAGAAUAAGGAAUAUAUACUCCAACAAAAAGUUGGGCAUCCAAAGAACUAUGCUUCAAAGACUCCUUCAUUCUAUAGUGCUGCAACACUCCUGAGGAUCUAAGUUGGGAAUGUAUGAUUUCAGCAGCAAGAUGAUCAAUUUAUAAUAUCCCAAAACGAAGAGACAAUCUUGUGAACCUGCUUAAAUUACACUAAUAUUUAUCCCAUCUAUGCAAGAACUCAAUCUUCCACCUCACAAUUCCUCACACCUAAAGAAAUCUUCAUUUUUCUAGCUUACUUUUACUAAACUAGCUCAAAUUAGAAGUUUUGAAUCCCAGCUGUUUGCAGUGAGCUUCAAACAUCCUUACCUUCAAUUUUAUUCUUAUUGCUCCUUUGUCAUCAGCAAUUCUAAAGUCUUCCUCUUCCAGUCACAAAAGCACAAUUUCAAGUCUUGAAGCCAUCAGUUUUUGCAAAGAAGGUUAGAUUAGACUCCACAACUUCCAUCCAAAAGUGCUGCUUCAAUUGACAAACAGAAUGGAGCCACAUUUGGCUACUCAUCUCAUUUUAGCUGUUGUUAUUGUUACCUCAUUAUCAUUGGCCUUAUUCCAAUUCAGCAAUCAAUCUUGUAUAAUUUUCAUGUUCCAUUAUAUGCUAGCUCAAAUUUUUGCAAAUGCAAACAUCCACCCAAUGCUCUCCCCCCAAAAAGGCAAAAAGCCUAGCCCUUUCUUGAAAUGCGAAUUAUCUUGACAUCUUUACUUUGAGUCCAAUAAUUCUUUCUAUCAUGAAUUCAUAAUCUCUCCCAAUAACCCUUUCCAUAUCCUCUGUUUGGCUUCUGUUUAAGAAUACUCCUUUGAGCCUGUUUGGGAUCGUGGUUCAAACUUGCUUUUGGAAAAGCACUAUUUUAGAUGCUAUUGAAAAAAGUUAUUUAGUUGUUUUGGAAUUUUUAUGAUUAAAACAUGUCAAAUUUAACUUU